CACUAAUUCCACUUAAUUAAUACUAGGAAUGUAUGAGCUGAGAAUGGUUAAUGAAAUUCUAAAUAUUUUCCCUUUAUCCCCAGUCCAUCUCCUCUCUUCUCCCCCCAUCUCCCUUACCCAUAGUCUUUGGAUUUAAGUUGUGUGUAUAUCCUGAAGGAAAACUAAAGGUUAAGUUUCUGUUUAGGAUGGAAGUGUUAGCCCCUGAAAAGAAAACACAUGAAGAGAAUGAAGAUUUGCAGCAAUAUCCUCAGAAGCCUGCAAGCUGUAAGAAAAUGCUUAGGAAUUGCUGCUUGAUAAAGCGAAUUUUUGCCUGGAAAAGUUUGAGCUCUAAAGUCUGGACUGAUUUCUGCUUUUAAUGAGCCAGGACACUUACUUCUCUGCAAGCAGUGUAAAGCCUGGCUGAAAGGCAUGAAUUCACCACAGGUUGUGUUUGGUUUUUUUGUUGGUUGUUUUUUUUUUUUUGUAAUUUGUUUUGUUUCUUGUUUUAUUUUCUUGACUGUCAUUUAAUUUUCAAAACUUUAAUUCAAUGCCCAGAAUGCUAGCCCAGUGUAAUGCACCAGGCUAGUGCUUGAAGCAGAUUUCACUACAAAAGGCACUCAAGACUGCUAAAGUAUUGAACAAAAAUCCCGUUUAUUGGUGCUAACAGUAGAAGGGAAAGGAGCAUAGUGUAGAUGUUCUUGCAGCCCUUUCAGAUGGACUGAUGAGCAAAAUUCACCACACCUUCAUGGUGAAGGUGUUCAUGCCUUAAGCGCUUGGAUGGAAUUUCUGUAGCAGGGAGCAAUUCCAUGCACCAUUGCUACUGGCAGCAGAUGUUCCCAUGAGAACUUGCUGCUUCUCACCUAGGUGAGCACAGGCACAGGCGGAUGGUGUAAUUCCUGGUGCCAGGUGGGAGCUGCCUGCAGGCUCCUGGAUGUGAUCAGCUGGCAGAGUGUGUGUGCUCUGGCCAGUGCCGGGUGUGGGAUGGAGCCGCCCUGCACCCUGCUCUGGUCACCCGCUGUCGUCGCCUUCUCCAUGGCACUGUUCUCCCGUUAGCAUGCCUACACUUGGAAGCACUAAAUCAUCUUACCUGCAGAACUUAGGAUCUUCUUUGUUUCCCUAAUUUAAAAAUACUAUCUUCAUUUUACAUGGGAAGUUGAUGGAGAAAAAUUAUGUGAGGACCCAUAGGCAGUGCAGCAGCGCUUGCCAUGAGUAACUAUUAGACUGUAAACUUAUGAAAAAAAGGUUGUUCUCAAUACAUUUUUCUUGUUGCCCUUAUCACAUCUUUCAUUUUACAUGUUAUUUCUUUACUUUCUACAGAUACUAUUUUCUGUCUUCUAGUUUCUUUUACAGUCAUUUUUUAAAUUGAACUUCCUGGCUUAGCAAAAGAGGAGAGGAGGGAGUGCACUUCGGGCUAUAUGAUGUUCCUCAGUGCAUGACAUUAAACUAGAAAUUAAUAAAAAAUAGGUUUCAGGCUUCCA
rnacentral:lncRNA from 1 species